CCUGCUUGCCUUCUUUUCUUUUCUUUUUUGCUUUCUUUCUUUUGUAAUUCUCUUUGACUGUUUUAGAUCAAUAAGGGACGUCCUCAUAUUCAAGGAACGGUUUCAACAUGACAAUGACACCUAUGAUCUAUGGUAGGGGACCAACUCCUGCUGGCAUGUCAAUGGUGCCAAUGCUAUUGCCCGAUGGACAGCUUGGAUAUGUCCUGAUGUUGCCGUUAAGGUUCUUACAGAUCAGGACUUUCAUGAGGAUCAACUGAAGGACUUUUUAAGGGAGGUAUGCAUUUAAAACAUUGCUA